GACGAACGCUGGCGGCGUGCUUAACACAUGCAAGUCGAACGGAAAGGCCCUGCUUUUGUGGGGUGCUCGAGCGGCGAACGGGUGAGUAACACGUGAGUAACCUGCCCUUGACUUUGGGAUAACUUCAGGAAACUGGGGCUAAUACCGGAUAGGAGCUCCUGCUGCAUGGUUGGGGUUGGACAGUUUCGGCGGUUGGGGAUGGACUCGCGGCUUAUCAGCUUGUUGGUGGGGUAGUGGCUUACCAAGGCUUUGACGGGUAGCCGGCCUGAGAGGGUGACCGGCCACAUUGGGACUGAGAGACGGCCCAGACUCAUACGGGAGGCAGCAGUGGGGAAUAUAGCACAAUGGGCGGAAGACUGAUGCAGCAACGCCGCGUGCGGGAUGAAGGCCUUCGGGUUGUAAACCGCUUUCGCCUGUGACGAAGCGUGAGUGACGGUAAUGGGUAAAGAAGCACCGGCUAACUACGUG
rnacentral:rRNA from 1 species